rnacentral:rRNA from 1 species
GUGCAGCAGGCGCGAAACCUUCGCAAUGCGGGAAACCGCGACGAGGGGACUCCCAGUGCCUACGCUCAGCGUAGGCUGUUCCCGAGCCUAGAAAGCUCGGGGAGUAAGGGCUGGGUAAGACGGGUGCCAGCCGCCGCGGUAAUACCCGCAGCCCGAGUGGUGGCCACUAUUAUUGGGCCUAAAGCGUCCGUAGCCGGCCCGGUAAAUGCCUGGGUAAAUCGUGAGGCCUAACCUCACGAAUUCCGGGUAGACUGCCGGGCUAGGGACCGGAGGAGGGAGAGGGUACUCCAGGGGUAGGGGUGAAAUCCUGUAAUCCCUGGAGGACCACCGGUGGCGAAGGCGCUCUCCUAGGACGGGUCCGACGGCGAGGGACGAAAGCCAGGGGAGCGAACCGGAUUAGAUACCCCUGUAGU